UCUGGUGACAAUGGCGGAGGGGAUCCACUCGUUCCCAUCCCGAACACGACCGUUAAGCCCUCCAGCAUAGCGUGACUAAGCGCUGUGCGCUAUAGCACGACUUGUGCUUUAGUGCGCCGAUGGUACUUGGGGCGAAGGUCCCCAGGAGAGUAGGGUUGCCAGGC
rnacentral:rRNA from 1 species